UGAGUCAUUAUAAGGCGCUCAAAGCUCGUAAUAAGUCUAAUUAUUCCUAGCCUAACCAUAAGACUCAUAACUAUAGUCCAAUUUCAAAAAAAUAAAUAGACAAAAUCAGGCCGUAAAUUGAACUAUCCAACAGGGAGUUUUAGCUCACUGGACCUGUAAACACAAAAUAACUCAAUUUGGAUAGCUUAGCUCACCCUCAUAAUUCUCAUAUAGAUAAAUAAUCUAAUAGCAGUGCAGCUCCCUCAUCCAAACACAAUCACAUAAAAG
rnacentral:misc_RNA from 1 species